AUUCAAUUAAUUAUCAGAUUAAGGUGAGCAUCCGUGUGUACUUGGAUGAUGCUGUUAACAUAUGUGUGAAAUUGUCGUCAAACGAUUGCUGUGGCGGUUGUUGCAUGUGUUGAGGAGUUCCGUCCAGACUGAGACCUGGUCUUACAUCCACCGGCGCACCUAUUAGUAACUGCGUCGGCGAGGAAAUCAACAAGAUGAGCAUGAGCAGCAUGGUGUGCUGCUGCUGCAGCCGCUUGUUGGUGAGCAGGGUCGAGGAGAACACCCCCCGGGAGCACCCCACUUCCUCCCACAACGCCACCGCGGGCCAAAAGUUGUUGCGCCAAUGAUGCGUGUGAAAGGGAUAGCGCCGGAGAUAUUGCACCUAUGAAUAAGGAGAUAAUUGUUUUAAAAUAUAAACCAAAAUGAAGGCUUUUAAAACACCAUGAUAGCCCAUCAUAGCAUUACACGUAUAAAUUGGAGUCACGUUUUUACUUUUCCAAAACACGUAUAUCCUUUAGGCAGUUGGCAUAAUGUAGCUUUAUCCAAAACAAAUAAAAACGAAGAAAGGAAUAGUAAAAUAAUAAUACCAUUUCUGGAGUGACUUCAGCAACAUGUCAUUGUAUGCCUAUUUAUCAAUUAAUUUAUUUGUAAAAAACCUGUAAGACAAUAGGUAUGUAUAUGUAAAAGCUUAAGGAUACGAUGGUAUUGCAAACGAAUAAAAUAUCUUUGAUAAGUU